rnacentral:rRNA from 1 species
AGUGAACGCUGGCGGUAGGCCUAACACAUGCAAGUCGAGCGGCAGCACAGUAAGAGCUUGCUCUUACGGGUGGCGAGUGGCGGACGGGUGAGGAAUACAUCGGAAUCUACUUUUUCGUGGGGAUAACGGAGGGAAACCUACGGCUAUUACGCAUACGGCCCUCCGGUUAAAACAAGGGGACCUCCGACCUUUGCCGGUUUAAUUAGCCGAUGGCGGGUUUGCUAGGUGGGGGGGUAAAGGCCCACCAAGGCGACCAUCCGUAGCGGGUCUGAGAGGAUGAUCAGCCACACUGGAACUGAGACACGGUCCAGACUCCUACGGGAGGCAGCAGUGGGGAAUAUUGGACAAUGGGCGCAAGCCUGAUCCAGCCAUACCGCGUGGGUGAAGAAGGCCUUCGGGUUGUAAAGCCCUUUUGUUGGGAAAGAAAAGCAGCAGGUUAAUACCCCGCUGUUCUGACGGUACCCAAAGAAUAAGCACCGGCUAACUUCGUG